GAUGAAGAACGCAGCGAAAUGCGAUAAGUAAUGUGAAUUGCAGAAUUCAGUGAAUCAUCGAAUCUUUGAACGCACAUUGCGCCCUCUGGUAUCCCGGGGGGCAUGCCUGUUCGAGCGUCAUUAUAACCACUCAAGCUCUCGCUUGGUAUUGGAGUUCGCGAUCUCGCGGCUCCUAAAAUCAGUGGCGGUGCCUGUCGGCUCUACGCGUAGUAAUACUCCUCGCGAUUGAGUCCGGUAGGUUUACUUGCCAGCAACCCCCAAUUUUUACAGGUUGACCUCGGAUCAGGUAGGGAUACCCGCUGAACUUAAGCAUAUCAAUAAGCGGAGGA
rnacentral:misc_RNA from 1 species